UUCAUUCUUCCCUAGCAUGUUUUCUUCACGGGGAUAUUAAAAAAUUCCACCUUUAAGACAAAAUAUUUAUACAAAUAUGGGAAAAAAUCUAAAUGAAUAUCUUAAAGAUUGAAACUCUGUGAUUUUGACAAAAAAUUACUUAUAAAUAUACAAAAACUGGAAUUGAAAAUAUUUACGUGACUCCUGGUGAACUCUUAUGUUGACGCGUAUUUAAAUAGCUGAAGUGCAUCUCUAAAUAAUGAAUCCAAGCACAUACAAACCCUUAAAAUCUUCUAUUUUCCAACAUAUUACAGAAUCUGGACAAACUAAAAAUAAUGUAAAGCUCCAUAUUGAUAAUGUAUCAAUGACGCAUAUAAAAACAGAAAAAAAAGUAACUAGUGAAGCCUCCCAAUUAGAGAAAACUGAAACAAAAAUUAACAAACAUGUCUUUGUCUUGAGUAACAAGCUUAUUCUUUUAAUUGUAGUUGCAUUUGUAUUGUUUUUUAGUAUUUAUUCCAAACAUAAAGUUAAUGAAUAUAAUAAAAUAAAAGACCUUAAUAAUAUGUUAAUGAAAAUGAAAUCAAUGUUUGCAUCUUUAUAUGAAAUGGAUGAAAAAGUGGCAAAGGGAAUACAUCAUGUAGAAAACUCUUAUAAUGUUUAUCAGAAUAGCUUUUCAUAUAAUGAAAUGACUGAAUCUCAAACAAAUAUUUAAAAAUGUAAUAUGUUUCAUAUAGCAAAAUAAUAUUUGUUUUACUGUGAGCGAAUCUAUUUUAAAAUGAAUAAUGUAACUUCGUGUUGAAUUGUUGUAUUAUUUUUGUUUUGUAUUUGUAAAUACCUAUUAAAUAAAAACAUGUUCUCGUAUUGAAAAGACUGCUUAAAAUAUUUAUUAGUUCUUAUUUAGCUUAGACAAGUUUCGAUGACUUCCUCUACAAGCUUGCUUCGUUUCUUGGCAACUUGAAGUAAAUUUUUCUGGCUUUCUGUUGGUAUA